rnacentral:rRNA from 1 species
GCAAGAUACCACGGGCGCACGGCGGAUGCCUUGGCACAGGGAGCCGAUGAAGGACGCGGCAAGCUGCGAUAAUCCCCGGCGAGGAGCACACAUCCUUCGACCCGGGGGUCUCCGAAUGGGCGAACCCAUGCACAGCAGUGUGCAUAUCCCCCCGCUGAACACAUAGGCGGGGGGAGGACAACCCGGGGAACUGAAACAUCUAAGUACCCGGAGGAGAGGAAAUCAAUCUCGAGACUCCCCGAGUAGCGGCGAGCGAAAGGGGACCGAUGGCCAAACCGUCGAGCGGGCAUACCCGGCAGGGGUUCCGCCGACGGGGUUGCAGGGCCGCGCAUCCGGGGGCUGCCGCCCCCGGGCGCAGGUCCGGCUGGGGAGCGGAACGGCAUGGGAGGGCCGGCCGCAGCGGGUGACAGCCCCGUACGCGAACCCAGACCGGACGGCGCGACGCGGUCCCUGAGUAGGGCCGGGCACGUGAAACCCGGUCCGAACCUGGGUGGACCACCAUCCAAGCCUGAGUACUACCCUGUGACCGAUAGCGCACCAGUACCGUGAGGGAAAGGUGAAAAGCACCCCGGGAGGGGAGUGAAACAGUACCUGAAACCGUGCGCCCACGAGCAGUCGGAGCACCUUUAUGGUGUGACGGCGUGCCUUUUGUAGAAUGAGCCAGCGAGUCGCUGGCGCGGGGCGAGGUUAACCGAAAGGGAGCCGAAGCGAAAGCGAGCCUUAACAGGGCGACUUGAGUCCCGCGCCGCGGACGCGAAGCCGGGUGAGCUAUCCGUGGGCAGGCUGAAGCGGGGGUAAGACCCCGUGGAGGGCCGAACGCACGUCGGUUGAAAACGGCGGCGAUGACCUGCGGAUAGGGGUGAAAGGCCAAUCAAACCCGGAGAUAUCUCGUUCUCCCCGAAAUAGCUUUAGGGCUAGCGUCGCGCGUUCACCGCCGGAGGUAGAGCACCGGAUGGACGAGGGGGCUUCGCCGCCUACCGAAUCCAACCGAACUCCGAAUGCCGGCGGCCCAGAGCGCGGCAGUCAGAGCAUGUGGGCUAAGCUGUGUGCUCGAGAGGGAAACAGCCCGGACCGCCCGCUAAGGUCCCCAAGUUCCAGCCGAGUGGCAAAGGAUGUGCGUCCGCCCAGACAACCAGGAUGUUGGCUUAGAAGCAGCCAUGCAUUCAAAGAGUGCGUAACAGCUCACUGGUCGAGUGGACAUGCGCCGACAAUACACGGGGCUAAGCUGGACACCGAAGCGGCGGGAUUUUGAUUUACAGAAUCGGUAGGGGAGCUUCCCAUGGGCGGAGAAGCCGGAGGGCGACCGACGGUGGAGCGCAUGGGAGUGAGAAUGCUGGCAUGAGUAGCGAGAGACGAGAGAGUAACUCGUCCGCCGUGAACCCGAGGUUUCCUGGGCAAGGCUAAUCCUCCCAGGGUCAGUCGGGGGCUAAGGCGAGGCCGGUAGGCGUAGCCGACGCGCAGCAGGCAGACAUUCCUGCACCGCGCACGCGGCGCUACGACCGACGGGGCGACGGAUGGGGGUGGCUCGGCGGGGUUCUGGACGUCCCCGUGAUGGAGCGCGGCCCGCGGACCAGGGAAAUCCGGUCCGCAGAAGGGCGAGGCUCCGGACGAAGCGAUCAAGCGAAGCGAGUGAGCCCGAGGUCCCUAGAAAAACCCCUAGGCAGGCGCGUGCGCGCCCGUACCGCAAACCGACACAGGUGGGUGGGUAGAACAUACCGAGGCGAUCGGGUCAACCAUGGUCAAGGAACUCGGCACAAUGGCCCCGUAACUUCGGGAGAAGGGGUGCCCGCGCGUACGUGAACCGGCUCGCCCGGGGAGCGGAGGCGGGCCGCAGUGGAGAGGCCCAAGCGACUGUUUACCAAAAACACAGGACUCUGCAGAAGCCGCAAGGCGACGUAUAGGGUCUGACGCCUGCCCGGUGCCGGAAGGUCACGCGGAGGAGUUAGCCGAUUCGGCGAAGCCCCGAAGCCAAGCCCCGGUAAACGGCGGCCGUAACUAUAACGGUCCUAAGGUAGCGAAAUUCCUUGUCGGGU